UACGUAGGGGUCGAGCGUUGUCCGGAAUUACUGGGCGUAAAGCGUGUGCAGGCGGCUCAUUGCGCCCGGCGUGAAAGCCCCCGGCUCAACCGGGGAGGGUCGUCGGGGACGGGUGAGCUUGAGGGUAUCAGGGGCAGGUAGAAUUCCCGGUGUAGUGGUGAAAUGCGUAGAGAUCGGGAGGAAUACCCGUGGCGAAGGCGGCCUGCUGGGAUACACCUGACGCUGAGACACGAAGGCGUGGGGAGCGAACGGG
rnacentral:rRNA from 3 species